GAUGAACGCUGGCGGCGUGCCUAAUACAUGCGAGUCGAGCGAACAGACGAGGAGCUUGCUCCUCUGACGUUAGCGGCGGACGGGUGAGUAACACGUGGAUAACCUACCUAUAAGACUGGGAUAACUUCGGGAAACCGGAGCUAAUACCGGAUAAUAUAUUGAACCGCAUGGUUCAAUAGUGAAAGACGGUUUUGCUGUCACUUAUAGAUGGAUCCGCGCCGCAUUAGCUAGUUGGUAAGGUAACGGCUUACCAAGGCAACGAUGCGUAGCCGACCUGAGAGGGUGAUCGGCCACACUGGAACUGAGACACGGUCCAGACUCCUACGGGAGGCAGCAGUAGGGUAUCUUCCGCAAUGGGCGAAAGCUUGACGGAGCAACGCCGCGUGAGUGAUGAAGGUCUUCGGAUCGUAAAACUCUGUUAUUAGGGAAGAACAAAUGUGUAAGUAACUAUGCACGUCUUGACGGUACCUAAUCAGAAAGCCACGGCUAACUACGUG
rnacentral:rRNA from 1 species